rnacentral:rRNA from 1 species
AUGCACGCUGGCGGCGUGCCUCAUCCCUGCAAGUCGCACGCUUCACUUCGGUGAAGAGUGGCGAACGGGUGAGUAAUACAUAAGUAACCUGGCAUCUACAGGGGGAUAACUGAUGGAAACGUCAGCUAAGACCGCAUAGGUGUAGAGAUCGCAUGAACUCUAUAUGAAAAGUGCUACGGGACUGGUAGAUGAUGGACUUAUGGCGCAUUAGCUUGUUGGUAGGGUAACGGCCUACCAAGGCGACGAUGCGUAGCCGACCUGAGAGGGUGACCGGCCACACUGGGACUGAGACACGGCCCAGACUCCUACGGGAGGCAGCAGUAGGGAAUUUUCGGCAAUGGGGGAAACCCUGACCGAGCAACGCCGCGUGAAGGAAGAAGUAAUUCGUUAUGUAAACUUCUGUCAUAGAGGAAGAACGGUGGAUAUAGGGAAUGAUAUCCAAGUGACGGUACUCUAUAAGAAAGCCACGGCUAACUACGUG